rnacentral:tRNA from 1 species
UACAUAUUAAAAAUAGCAUGGUGUCGUCUCCUGUCAAAGAUUUUCAUUGUAAUAUGAAACUUUGAAUAGUUACGAGUCUCUGUAAAGAACUCACUAUAGACGGCGCCACGGUUCGCUUAAACCGAAAGUAAAAAUCAUCAUAUCAAAAGUUUCGCUCUAGCGAGUAUAUCGUUCCAUAGCUUAAUUGGCUAGAGCGUCGACACGGUAUGUCGAAGACGCGGGUUCGAAUCCCGCUGGAGCGUGAAAUUUUUAAACCAGAUC